CGGGCGGUUCGCCGCCCGCGAUUCGGCGAGAAGUCCAUUGAACCUUAUCAUUUAGAGGAAGGAGAAGUCGUAACAAGGUUUCCGUAGGUGAACCUGCGGAAGGAUCAUUG
rnacentral:rRNA from 1 species